rnacentral:rRNA from 1 species
AGACCCGAAACCCGGUGAUCUAGCCAUGGGCAGGUUGAAGGUUGGGUAACACUAACUGGAGGACCGAACCGACUAAUGUUGAAAAAUUAGCGGAUGACUUGUGGCUGGGGGUGAAAGGCCAAUCAAACCGGGAGAUAGCUGGUUCUCCCCGAAAGCUAUUUAGGUAGCGCCUCGUGAAUUCAUCUCCGGGGGUAGAGCACUGUUUCGGCAAGGGGGUCAUCCCGACUUACCAACCCGAUGCAAACUGCGAAUACCGGAGAAUGUUAUCACGGGAGACACACGGCGGGUGCUAACGUCCGUCGUGAAGAGGGAAACAACCCAGACCGCCAGCUAAGGUCCCAAAGUCAUGGUUAAGUGGGAAACGAUGUGGGAAGGCCCAGACAGCCAGGAUGUUGGCUUAGAAGCAGCCAUCAUUUAAAGAAAGCGUAAUAGCUCACUGGUCGAGUCGGCCUGCGCGGAAGAUGUAACGGGGCUAAACCAUGCACCGAAGCUGCGGCAGCGACACUGUGUGUUGUUGGGUAGGGGAGCGUUCUGUAAGCCUGUGAAGGUGUGCUGUGAGGCAUGCUGGAGGUAUCAGAAGUGCGAAUGCUGACAUAAGUAACGAUAAAGCGGGUGAAAAGCCCGCUCGCCGGAAGACCAAGGGUUCCUGUCCAACGUUAAUCGGGGCAGGGUGAGUCGACCCCUAAGGCGAGGCCGAAAGGCGUAGUCGAUGGGAAACAGGUUAAUAUUCCUGUACUUGGUGUUACUGCGAAGGGGGGACGGAGAAGGCUAUGUUGGCCGGGCGACGGUUGUCCCGGUUUAAGCGUGUAGGCUGGUUUUCCAGGCAAAUCCGGAAAAUCAAGGCUGAGGCGUGAUGACGAGGCACUACGGUGCUGAAGCAACAAAUGCCCUGCUUCCAGGAAAAGCCUCUAAGCAUCAGGUAACAUCAAAUCGUACCCCAAACCGACACAGGUGGUCAGGUAGAGAAUACCAAGGCGCUUGAGAGAACUCGGGUGAAGGAACUAGGCAAAAUGGUGCCGUAACUUCGGGAGAAGGCACGCUGAUAUGUAGGUGAAGUCCCUCGCGGAUGGAGCUGAAAUCAGUCGAAGAUACCAGCUGGCUGCAACUGUUUAUUAAAAACACAGCACUGUGCAAACACGAAAGUGGACGUAUACGGUGUGACGCCUGCCCGGUGCCGGAAGGUUAAUUGAUGGGGUCAGCGCAAGCGAAGCUCUUGAUCGAAGCCCCGGUAAACGGCGGCCGUAACUAUAACGGUCCUAAGGUAGCGAAAUUCCUUGUCGGGUAAGUUCCGACCUGCACGAAUGGCGUAAUGAUGGCCAGGCUGUCUCCACCCGAGACUCAGUGAAAUUGAACUCGCUGUGAAGAUGCAGUGUACCCGCGGCAAGACGGAAAGACCCCGUGAACCUUUACUAUAGCUUGACACUGAACAUUGAGCCUUGAUGUGUAGGAUAGGUGGGAGGCUUUGAAGUGUGGACGCCAGUCUGCAUGGAGCCGACCUUGAAAUACCACCCUUUAAUGUUUGAUGUUCUAACGUGGACCCGUGAUCCGG